AAACUCAAAGGAAUUGACGGGGACCCGCACAAGCAGCGGAGCAUGUGGUUUAAUUCGAAGCAACGCGAAGAACCUUACCUGGACUUGACAUCCCUCGGACCGCUUCUUAACCGAAGCUUUCCCUUCGGGGACCGAGGUGACAGGUGGUGCAUGGUUGUCGUCAGCUCGUGUCGUGAGAUGUUGGGUUAAGUCCCGCAACGAGCGCAACCCCUGUCUUUAGUUGCCAGCACCUCGGGUGGGCACUCUAAAGAGACUGCCGAGGACAACUCGGAGGAAGGUGGGGAUGACGUCAAAUCAUCAUGCCCCUUAUGUUCAGGGCUACACACGUGCUACAAUGGGCGGUACAACGGGCAGCGAGCUCGCGAGAGCAAGCCAAUCCUUAAAGCCGUUCUCAGUUCGGAUUGCAGGCUGAAACCCGCCUACAUGAAGCUGGAGUUGCUAGUAAUUGCGGAUCAGAAUGCCGCGGUGAAUGCGUUCCCGGGUCUUGUACACACCGCCCGU
rnacentral:rRNA from 1 species